AACACGUGAGUAACCUGCCCUUGACUCUGGGAUAAGCGUUGGAAACGACGUCUAAUACCGGAUACGAGCUUCCACCGCAUGGUGAGUUGCUGGAAAGAAUUUUGGUCAAGGAUGGACUCGCGGCCUAUCAGCUUGUUGGUGAGGUAACGGCUCACCAAGGCGACGACGGGUAGCCGGCCUGAGAGGGUGACCGGCCACACUGGGACUGAGACACGGCCCAGACUCCUACGGGAGGCAGCAGUGGGGAAUAUUGCACAAUGGGCGAAAGCCUGAUGCAGCAACGCCGCGUGAGGGACGACGGCCUUCGGGUUGUAAACCUCUUUUAGCAGGGAAGAAGCGAAAGUGACGGUACCUGCAGAAAAAGCACCGGCUAACUACGUGCCAGCAGCCGCGGUAAUACGUAGGGUGCAAGCGUUGUCCGGAAUUAUUGGGCGUAAAGAGCUCGUAGGCGGUUUGUCGCGUCUGCUGUGAAAUCCCGAGGCUCAACCUCGGGUCUGCAGUGGGUACGGGCAGACUAGAGUGCGGUAGGGGAGAUUGGAAUUCCUGGUGUAGCGGUGGAAUGCGCAGAUAUCAGGAGGAACACCGAUGGCGAAGGCAGAUCUCUGGGCCGCUACUGACGCUGAGGAGCGAAAGGGUGGGGAGCAAACAGGCUUAGAUACCCUGGUAGUCCACCCCGUAAACGUUGGGCGCUAGAUGUGGGGACCAUUCCACGGUUUCCGUGUCGUAGCUAACGCAUUAAGCGCCCCGCCUGGGGAGUACGGCCGCAAGGCUAAAACUCAAAGGAAUUGACGGGGGCCCGC
rnacentral:rRNA from 1 species